GGCUAUGUGCAGAUAACCAUGUUUUGCGGCUUAAUGGUUAGCAAUAAACCUUUUAGCGUCAAGUAUGCAUCUGACCCAAAACAACGAAAAGGCCGCUUCGGAUGGGUUGAGGUUGCUGCAGGAAUAGAUUCAGACAGUUCCAAUCACAGAAGCAGCCUCUCAACAAUUGCUGGCUCAUUCAGAGAGAGUUCUGAACAGUAGGCAAUGUUUGAGAACAAAAGUAUUCACACGGAAUUUGCGGUCCAGUGUGUUCUCUGAAUGCUGGAGGUUAAGAUACAGACGGGAGGCAUGCUCACAAGGGAGAGUCUGCUGAAGAAUAUGGGGAGCUGAAAUCUACAACCUGCACUGUCUUUGACCAUUUCUGGAGGGCCUCACUAUGGACUUGACAUCGCACGCCUGCGAAGAGGGUUAAAGGCGGUCACCUCGCUUGUACAGGCUUUAAUAAACUUUUAACUGUUUGUAGAAGUUGGUGUGUGCAAAUUGCAUCUCGUGUGUGAAUCCUAUAAGUCCGAGUCCCAGACUGUUAAGACAGAACAACUCAAACUUCCAGAAGCAACAGACAUCAAGGUAGCUUGCUCAGGGCGGGGAGUUGGAGAGAGAGUUGUGGGAAGUUGGGGUAAGAAAGGGUGUGGUCAGGCAGCAAGGUGGUGGGUGUUAGCGGUCAUUCCCUCACUCACUCACCCCCAGACUGGGUCAGAC